rnacentral:pre_miRNA from 1 species
AAUAAACCAAUUUUUUAUCUUUUACCUUUAAUUUUCGACUCUUCGUCUUAUUUAAAAACUUUUUGUGAUUGAUAUUUUUGUUUUUAUUAGAUGAUAAAUUAUGAAUAGUACUUUAUGUGUGAUUAAUUUUUUUUAAUCUUCUAAAAAAUUUUCAAAUAAAACAGAUGGUCAAAUGUUGUACACAGAAACCAGAGAAUUCGUUUUUU